AGCGAACGCUGGCGGCAGGCCUAACACAUGCAAGUCGAACGAAGUCUUCGGACUUAGUGGCGGACGGGUGAGUAACACGUGGGAACGUGCCUUUAGGUUCGGAAUAACUCAGGGAAACUUGUGCUAAUACCGAAUGUGCCCUACGGUGGAAAGAUUUAUCGCCUUUAGAGCGGCCCGCGUCUGAUUAGCUAGUUGGUGAGGUAAAGGCUAACCAAGGCGACGAACAGUAGCUGGUCUGAGAGGAUGAUCAGCCACAUUGGGACUGAGACACGGCCCAAACUCCUACGGGAGGCAGCAGUGGGGAAUCUUGCGCAAUGGGCGAAAGCCUGACGCAGCCAUGCCGCGUGAAUGAUGAAGGUCUUAGGAUUGUAAAAUUCUUUCACCGGGGACGAUAAUGACGGUACCCGGAGAAGAAGCCCCGGCUAACUUCGUGCCAGCAGCCGCGGUAACAC
rnacentral:rRNA from 1 species